UUUGGGAGCUAGAACGCGAUCGGACUCAGGCAUAUUCAAAGGCAGUCUAUUGUGAUAGUAGUCCUGGACUGAUCUCACUAUGAUGAUAUAGGUCGUGCCCAGCAUCACAAUGCCAAACAUUAUAAAUGACUGUUUUUUUUGCCUGAGGGGCUAGAUGAGCAUGCGGCUAGACUGCCGAUGGCAACCAACAGGCUCAAGGCUGUGUUGAGACUUCGUGUGUGCGACCCGAGUCAAUUGUUUACUCGCCAUGACCAGGCAUCGCAUUGAGCAUCGUAUGCCCACUAAUAUUAUGUCACUGUUCUUAGUCGCACCGGGGGGCGCAUGCCCGUUUUCAGGAGACUUCUCAAAACACAUAAGCCCUGGGUCCUGAAGGUUAGGCCUAUUGUUAAUCUAAAUAGUCCUGGCUACUAUCCCGCUGAGUUCACUGACUUUCUACUGAACCCGUAUGUAUGUGAGGAAAGUACUGUUCUAACCUCAACUGCGGAUUUCAUCAACUUGGUAGAAGGUUUGCCUGUGCGGGACGAUCAUUUAUAAUUGAGUAUUAGGGCUCAAACGGUCACGGUUUUACCCUAAACGGUUAACUGCUAAGCUAACGGUCGGUUUAACGGUUAUAACCUAUAAGCCACGGCAAUCCUGCGGAAUCUUUUUUAACCGUAUAUUUGACUACACUGUAUACUUAUUCAAAAAAUGUACCCUAUUCCGUACAACGCACACAUGUACAUUCUCUUGCAUGCUCAUUCAUACAUACUCUCACACGAAGAGACCAGAUAUGACCGAGUUGACAGCCCAGAAAUAAUUUGCGUACGCGUGCGACAGCCUGCAUACUUUGCAACGACCUGAUACUUAAAAAAUUGACUGAAAAGUUACUGCGUAACCGUUAUCUUUAUCGGUUAACCGUUAAUUCUUCCUAACCGGUCUGCAACCGGUUAAUCGGACUAACCGUUUGAGCCCUAUUGAGUAUAGAUGUGACCAGCCUUUACUACACCAACAUCCCCAACGAGCUCGGUUGUCGUGGUAUAUCACACACAGGUGUACAAGGUGGAUGCCCCUCGCCCUUCGUACAUGGUUAUUAACAGCAGUGACUUCCUUGAUGUCAGUCAUUCGGAAGAAAAAUGAGUUCGUGUAUGGUAACGAUGUGUUUCGGCAGAUCCAAGGGACUGCCAUGGGUUCGCCUGCAGCAGUGGUCUAUGCCGACAUUGUUAUGCUGUAUUUGGAGAAGCGGUACGUUUUGCCGAUCUUAGAGGGGGAGGGUUUAGAGGUUCAGGUUUAUAGACGCUUUAUCAUUGCAUGGUUGCGAAGGUCAAGUUCAGCGCACUUUAGAUAGGAUUAAUAAGUGUUCGGCCCUCAAGUUUUCUCAUGAACUGGCACAUGAUGGCAUUGAUUUCCUGGACACCACAGUUUUCCGUAGUAAGGGAUACAUGGCUGUGAAGCCUCAUUUCAAGUUCACCAAUCGUUUCCUGUAUCUGCUUGUCGGUAGUAACCACCCCUGUAGUAUGGGCAAAGGUGUGUUCACUGGGGAGUUGAUCCGUAUCCGUCGGUCUUCGACCCUUGACCACCACUACGAAGCUGCUGCCGAGCGGCCGAAGCAGGCUUUCCGGGCCCGUGUAUACAAGCGCUCCAUCUUUCAUCUUUCAGACCCGCUCACUAGGAAUGGAUGCGCAGGGAAGAGUUCUAGCAUCCGUAGCUGCCUCAGGGGGUGCCACUUCUCCCAUCAGCGUCGACUAAUCCGCCGAAAAUGUGCUCGCGCAUUAGAAGGAGGUGAAAGAUGCACCUGCAGGAGAAUACAUGCUUAAGAGAAGGCAGAAACAUGCCCGGAUCCACCAGAACUAUUGCUGGCAAGUCAACAGAGGCGGGUACUGAUAAUGUUCCAGAUUGUGGUAGGAUCACAUAAGCAAAAUUGACACUGGGAGGCACGGCGGUGGGUCAGCUCAUGGCCAGCGCCAGCUCCAGUGGAUAUCACGUGCAUCCAGUUCUAGUACUAUAGUAUGACUGCUACAAAGUAGUGCGGCCCAAAUAGAACUCGGGUCAGGUGCCGAAGAACUGGGGGGGGGGGGG